rnacentral:rRNA from 1 species
GCGUGCAGGACGAAGGCCUUCGGGUUGUAAACUGCUUUUGUACGGAACGAAAAGGUCAUUAAUAACACUAGUGGCUGAUGACGGUACCGUAAGAAUAAGCACCGGCUAACUACGUGCCAGCAGCCGCGGUAAUACGUAGGGUGCGAGCGUUAAUCGGAAUUACUGGGCGUAAAGCGUGCGCAGGCGGUUAUAUAAGACAGAUGUGAAAUCCCCGGGCUCAACCUGGGAACUGCAUAUGUGACUGUAUAGCUAGAGUACGGUAGAGGGGGAUGGAAUUCCGCGUGUAGCAGUGAAAUGCGU